rnacentral:rRNA from 1 species
UAGAUACCCUGCUAUACCUGAGUUAGAGGUUUUGUACCGGGGUAAUAAGCAGUUAUUUUCUUGAAACCCAAAGAGUUUGGCGGUAGCUCAGCCUAGUUAGAGGAGCUUGUUCGGUAAACGAUAAUCCCCGAAAAAUCUUACGCGUUCUUGUAAACAGUUUAUAUACCGUCGUUGUCAGAUAAUGUUAAAAGGCAAAGAAUUAUCUUAAUAUGAACUAAAACAUAGUAUAUCAGAUCAAGGUGUAACUUAUGAAUGCGAGUUGAAUGAGCUACAAUUUAAGUUAUAAAUUACGAAAGGUGGUUUUAAAUAACCAGUGGAAGGCGGAUUUAACGGUAAUCUUAACUUUAGCAAGCUAAGAUGAUAUUAGCUCUGAGGUAUGUACACAUCGCCCGUC